CNGAAGNCUGAGAAUGCUCUAGUCUAGGAUUGCAGCAGGGGCGAAACUUGACCUAUGAUAUUAUAUUGAGGCAGUUAUGAGUAGUAUUUUAUAAUUAUUGUAGUAUUGUAAGUACAUAUUMCAAGAUAAAUCGGAGGGCAAAUCGAGUGCCAGCAGCCGCGGUAAUACUUGUUCCGAUAGUGUGUAUGAUGAUUGAUGCAGUUAAAAAGUCUGUAGUUUAUUUAUAAUAAGCAUUGUAAGGUAUACUGUAUGGUUAGGAGAGAGAUGAAAUGUGAUAACCCUAACUGGAUGAACAGAAGCGAAAGCUGUAUACUUAAAUGUAUUAUUAGAACAAGGACGUAAGCUAGAGGAUCGAAGAUGAUUAGAUACCAUUGUAGUUCUAGCAGUAAACUAUGUUGAAUCAUAGAUAUAUUUUGAUAUAUAUUUAUGUAGAGAAAUUAAGAUUAUAUUGACUCUGGGGAUAGUAUGAUCGCAAGAUUGAAAAUUAAAGAAAUUGACGGAAGAAUACCACAAGGAGUGGAUUGUGCGGCUUAAUUUGACUCAACGCGGGGUAAUUUACCAGGUAUAACAUGGUAUAAUAUUUUAUCAUGAUAGUGGUGCAUGGCCGUUUCCAAUGGAUGCUGUGAAGUAAUGAUUAAUUUCAACAAGAUGUGAGACCCUCAUUUAGACAGAUGUAGUGAUACAUAUGAAGGAGAGGAUUAAAACAGGUCCGUUAUGCCCUAAGAUAAUCUGGGUUGCACGCGCAAUACAAUAAUAUUUGAUAUUAUAAGGGAUAAUAUAAUGUAAGAUAUAUUUGAACAUGGAAUUGCUAGUAAAUUUUAUUUAAUAAGUAGAAUUGAAUGAGUCCCUGUUCUUUGUACACACCGCCCGUCGCUAUCUAAGAUGGUAUUAUCUAUGAACAAAUUUAUAAAGUGAAUAGAUAGUACUAGAUCUGAUAUAAGUCGUAACAUGGUUGCUGUUGGAGAACC
rnacentral:rRNA from 1 species